UACGGAGGGGGUUAGCGUUGUUCGGAAUUACUUGGCGUAAAGCGCGCGUAGGCCGACCAGAAAGUUGGGGGUGAAAUCCCGGGGCUCAACCCCGGAACGGCCUCCAAAACUCCUGGUCUUGAGUUCGAGAGAGGUGAGUGGAAUUCCGAGUGUAGAGGUGAAAUUCGUAGAUAUUCGGAGGAACACCAGUGGCGAAGGCGGCUCACUGGCUCGAUACUGACGCUGAGGUGCGAAAGUGUGGGGAGCAAACAGG
rnacentral:rRNA from 1 species